CUUUGCAUUUGACUACCACUUUUUCACUUCAUAGAUUUAGUGGCUCUGCUUCUGGGAUAAAAUAUAGCUACUAUGGUAGGACAGAAAAAG